AUUCCUUAGUACUCAGCUAAGCAGGAUUGACCCACCGCUACUAAAAUAAUCCUCUGUGGAUUAUCGCAUGCAUCCACAUGGUUGCUUCCAUCAUCUGCAAUCGCCAGGAUAAGGGAUAAAUUCCCUCUUUGUUCUUGAACUUAGAACAUGUAGAAUAUUGUAACAUAAAAAUCAUUUUAACUUUGUAAUAACCGGUUUUCUGAUUAAAUACUUAAUUUAACAAAUUUUAAGUUAACAAGGGAAAAGACAUAAAAAUCCUCUUUUCCCUUCUCCUACCCUCUUUCUAUCUCUUCCUCACCAUCAAACCUCCUCCUUAGCCACCCAAAAAAUCCAAUGGCGUCACAUAGGCGAAUCGACGCGAGCAAGACUUGGGUAGUUCAAGGGUUCGAACAGCGAUGAUACUGAUAGGCUUUGAUCACGCCAACGGUGAGGCUAGAGUCCAAAGGGAAGCAAGACUUGGCACCGAGAGGAGUUGCAUGUUGAUUAGGCGAG
rnacentral:misc_RNA from 1 species